GACAGAGGCCUCAAGCGUUAGGCGGAAUCACUGGGCGUAAAGCGCACGUAGGCGGAUUGUUAAGUCAGGGGUGAAAUCCUGGAGCUCAACUCCAGAACUGCCUUUGAUACUGGCGAUCUUGAGUCCGGGAGAGGUGAGUGGAACUGCGAGUGUAGAGGUGAAAUUCGUAGAUAUUCGCAAGAACACCAGUGGCGAAGGCGGCUCACUGGCCCGGUACUGACGCUGAGGUGCGAAAGCGUGGGGAGCAAACAGG
rnacentral:rRNA from 1 species